rnacentral:rRNA from 1 species
AAAGCUCAAAUUUAAAAUCUGGUAGUCUUUGGCUGCCCGAGUUGUAAUCUAGAGAAGCGUCAUCCGCGCUGGACCGUGUAUAAGUCUCCUGGAAUGGAGCGUCAUAGAGGGUGAGAAUCCCGUCUUUGACAUGGACUACCAGGGCAUUGUGAUACGCUCUCGACGAGUCGAGUUGUUUGGGAAUGCAGCUCUAAAUGGGUGGUAAAUUCCAUCUAAAGCUAAAUACUGGCGAGAGACCGAUAGCGAA